rnacentral:RNase_P_RNA from 1 species
GUGAGUCAGAUAGCUGACUUCGGAAGUUUGUUGUUAAAUCAACAAGAAUUGUUAAUGAAUUCUAACUUCUGAGGAAGGUCCGGACACCAAAAUAAGACGAUUUCCUGAAAAGGAAAUAGCAGCGAUGUUAAGCUCUGGAACAGAAACGAUACCGCUUCGUGCGGAUGAAACGGCCAUCUUCGUCGGUGCAACCGCUCUAACCGCGGGCUAAGACAGAUGUCAGCAUAGAGAUUCCAUUCAUGGUCUCUAACAGAAUCCGGCCUAUUUCUGACUCAC